rnacentral:rRNA from 1 species
CAGAUUGAACGCUGGCGGCAUGCUUUACACAUGCAAGUCGAACGGCAGCACGGGCUUCGGCCUGGUGGCGAGUGGCGAACGGGUGAGUAAUGCAUCGGAACGUACCGUGUAAUGGGGGAUAACGUAGCGAAAGUUACGCUAAUACCGCAUACGCCCUGAGGGGGAAAGCGGGGGAUCGUAAGACCUCGCGUUAUACGAGCGGCCGAUGUCGGAUUAGCUAGUUGGUGGGGUAAAGGCCUACCAAGGCGACGAUCCGUAGCGGGUCUGAGAGGAUGAUCCGCCACACUGGGACUGAGACACGGCCCAGACUCCUACGGGAGGCAGCAGUGGGGAAUUUUGGACAAUGGGCGCAAGCCUGAUCCAGCCAUGCCGCGUGAGUGAAGAAGGCCUCGGUUGGUUAAAGGUACGUACUUUCUACGUACGGAAAGGAAAGUACGACGCGCUCUACACUAGACGUGUGGAGU